AACAGGAUUAACAGAGCAAGGUCCUUCAUUAAUUAAUCUUUGAUAUGUGGGACAUUGCAGAUCAAGUUGGCUUGGCCGGCUUGGUGUGGGUCUCGUUCAGGACAGAUUACGUUAUGCAAAGAUAGAAUCCGAAUUUGCUGAACUCUCGAUGCCAUCCAGAUGUGCAUCUAGCUGCUCAAUCAUCCUUCCCCUCGAAAGGGGACAACCGUUCCGAGUUGUCAGCAGAAUAACCACGAAUUCAUGUUCAGAAGCUUCAAAGGUACUUCGACGGCAGCACCUGUUUGUCGCUCAUUCUUCCAUGUCGAUGGAUCUGCUUCUGAAGACACCAGCUGAGAUGCUGAAGCAGCUUUAUCUUAUUGGAGGCUGAGCUGAGCUGCUGUGGAGCUGAAUCCCUCUGUUUGUAUGCUCAGGCUAGCGUGAAGACAUGCCGCCUGAUUGUCGUCAAUUCAAAGGACCAGCCACUUAUGAACUCCGGCAAUUGAAUUUUUAUAGCAUAGAGAAAAUGGAGACUCUCCCGUGGUGGAUUCGGCACCUCUCUAACUUGAAAGAGGGCUCUUUUUACUGCAGAAAUCUGAUGGCUUUGCCCGAGUGAUUUCCCAAUCUCACCUCACCCCAAAGUCUUACAGUUUUUGGUGGCAGGAAGGAGCUAUCAAGUAGGCGCCCGGAGAAUACCGGAGAGGACAGGCCUAAGAUUUCCCACAUCCAGUUUGUGGAUGUAUCUGGAGAGUGAAGUAAUUCCUCCCUCACUCACUGCCUCCAAAGAUGAUAUAUAUGAAGGGCCUUCACUCCAACCUAUUUACAGUAUUUAGCUCAAGCUCUUAAAUUGCUGAGUGAUCUUGACAGUUGAGGUUCAGUUUUGUCAAGAGUGGACAGUUUAAGUGUCUCAUUUACUCGGAUCAAUGAAGCUAGUUCUUAUCCCACUCCAGUCCAGUUGCCUCAAAUUUAAAACAGGGCAUACAUUACUUCCUGUAAGCUGUUGAGAUCAAAUUAUCCCAAGCUCACAAAUUCAUCUUCCCAAGUCGAGUUUCUGGAAGAGGGACAGGUGAAUUGCUGAUUUUGUUGGACCAGUUUCCGAACUGCAGAAUAUGUGAAGACGGUUGGAUAAAUUUUAUCUUAAAACAUCACCAUUUACAUUCCAGGAUUGAAAGGCUUUGUCACUUUUUCGGUGGCCGAAUGUAUGGAGAGAUGUUCUCAGGGACAAAAUAGUCCAGUUUGAAGGCAAGGCAUCAGCGCACCCAACCCAUCAGUCCACUCCUAACUACACACCCACCAUGCCUUCAUAUCACAACAUUACUAUGUCAAUUUUCAUCCUAUAUACACUAUGAUGUAGUCAUAAUUAAUGGAUAUUGGUCUUGCAGGCAAUGAUAUGAACGGAAGCUCAAUUAAAACACGACUGACGCUGCAUAGAGCCUGCAUUACGGGAUGGUUGAUAGAGACUUGAACAGAGAAUUGUCCUUCAUUAAUUAAUCCCGGAUAUGUGUCAUGUUGAAGAUCAAACUGGCUUGGCUGGGUCAGUGUAAGCCUCGUUCAGAUGUGCCUCUAGCAGUUCAAUCAUCCUUCCCCUCAAAAGGAGACAACCAUUCCGAGUUGUCAGCAAAAGAACCUGGAAUUCAUGUUCAGAUGCUUCAAAGGUGGGGAAUUUCCGAUGACGAACAUCAGCCAAUGCUUGUUUUUUACGGAGAGUUUUGAUAAUUCACGUACAUCUUUGGUAGUUACUCCGACGGCAGCACUUGUAUGGCUUCUGGUGUCUCCACUUUCAGUUGUUUGUCGCUCAUUGUUCCUUGUCAAUGGAUCUGGUUCUGAGGGCACCAGCUGAGAUGCCGAAACAGCUUUAUCUCAGUGGAGGCUGAGCUGCUGUGGAGCUGAUGGCUCUGUUUGCAUGGAGGGAAAUAAUAAGGUUCUCAGCUUCAGGAUUUCGGAUCUAGCUCGAGUCACGGUCUAGAGAGGAUUCUGUAUCGUGGUCACUGUGAUCCAAGAGAACAUGGUAUCUAGCCUCUGGCCUUUUUCUCCACUUUGUUUAUAACGUAAAUGAUGGAGAACGAAAAAUGCUGUUUGUUAACA